AACUCAAUUGCCCCUAAAAUGGGAAACUGUUCUCCUUCAAGCAUUGGCUAUCAGGUUCCAGCCCCAGCAUUAGUAAAUUUACAUUCUUAUGCCUCUGGCCCUAAUACUGGUGGACCCUCAAUUGGACCACCUCCUGUAAUUACAAACAAAGCUCCAGCAUUUGUUGAGGUCUACUUGGUUUGGGAUGAUGACGCUAUGUCCAUGGAGGAAAGACGAAUGUCCUUGCCAAAGUACCAGGUGCAUGAUGAGACUAGCCAGGUAAGUUAUCAUUACCUAGAACUGGUAUUCUUUCUUCUGGAUAUGGACUUGAGCUGCGCCUGUCGAGAGGUGUUGCAUUCCAUUUCUCAGAUUCAGUUGUUUAACUAUUCUUUCCUUGUCCUUAAGCAAGUUGUCCCCAUUCUCCUUCCUCUUGCUGAAACUAUCUGAUAAACUCUUUGAAGAAUAUCUGAUAAUCCAAUCAAUCAUACUUGAUGUUUCGACCCCAUUAGUUCAUGGACUGUUUUAUCUUUGGCCACUCACUGGUUGGCAAGGAAUCCCAAUAAGUGUGUUCAUCGAAAGAUUCAAGUAUGUAUUUUUAUUAUCUUUUGCUCGUAAUUAAGUAAUGAUAUUUCUGUCAAGAUGGUGAGCAUCUACUCUGAGGAACAGGAUUAUGAAUCGAGUGUAUGUAUUUGUUCUUGGAAAUUUCAUUUUCUGUGUUUAAAUCUUCGCCUGUGCUUGGCCUUGAAAAGAUUUGGGUUUGGGUGAGCAAGCGUACACCUCCAGAUGCGCUGUAAAUUAUAUUGAUUAUACUAUUGACAUAUGGUCAAACAGAGUUUCAAUGUUGGCUCAGGUCAGAUUCUUUUGCCGGGUUAGGAAUCUCAUUGUAUCAGAAGCAUCCUAUGAUUUUCCACUUGUUUGUAAUUCUGAGUACUAUCGGUAUUUCUGUCUUAAGGACUGUUUGUGGUUUCUUCUUUCAGAUGACCUCAAUAGAUGCAGCAAUAGACAGAAGAAUCUCAGAAAGCAGGCUAGCUGGGAGUAUGGCUUUCUAAACAUUAGCAACAUCUAGUGCUAUAGUUUUCCUUUGAUGCAGGGUGCUUGCAACUCCAGGAAUACAACUCUUUGCAUAUCAGUUUUUGAUG
rnacentral:misc_RNA from 1 species